rnacentral:rRNA from 1 species
GCAGCAGUGGGGAAUUUUGGACAAUGGGCGCAAGCCUGAUCCAGCAAUGCCGCGUGCAGGAAGAAGGCCUUCGGGUUGUAAACUGCUUUUGUCAGGGAAGAAAUCCUCUGGGUUAAUACCUCGGGGGGAUGACGGUACCUGAAGAAUAAGCACCGGCUAACUACGUGCCAGCAGCCGCGGUAAUACGUAGGGUGCGAGCGUUAAUCGGAAUUACUGGGCGUAAAGCGUGCGCAGGCGGNUUUGCAAGACAGAUGUGAAAUCCCCGGGCUCAACCUGGGAACUGCCUUUGUGACUGCAAGGCUAGAGUNCGGCAGAGGGAGAUGGAAUUCCGCGUGUAGCAGUGAAAUGCGUAGAUAUGCGGAGGAACACCGAUGGCGAAGGCAAUCUCCUGGGCCUGUACUGACGCUCAUGCACGAAAGCGUGGGGAGCAAACAGGAUUAGAUACCCUGGUAGUCCACGCCCUAAACGAUGUCAACUGGUUGUUGGACGGCUUGCUGUUCAGUAACGAAGCUAACGCGUGAAGUUGACCGCCUGGGGAGUACGGCCGCAAGGUUGAAACUCAAAG